ACUCAAAUGAAUUGACGGGGGCCCGCACAAGCGGUGGAGCAUGUGGUUUAAUUCGAUGCAACGCGAAGAACCUUACCUACUCUUGACAUGCUAGGAAUUUGGCUGAGAGGCUGAAGUGCCGAGAGGAGCCUAGACACAGGUGCUGCAUGGCUGUCGUCAGCUCGUGUCGUGAGAUGUUGGGUUAAGUCCCGUAACGAGCGCAACCCUUGUCUCUAGUUACCAGCACGUAAAGGUGGGGACUUUAGAGAGACUGCCGGCGUUAAGCCGGAGGAAGGUGGGGAUGAUGUCAAGUCAUCAUGGCCUUUAUGAGUAGGGCUACACACGUGCUACAAUGGCGCGUACAAAGGGAAGCAAAGCUGAGAAGUGGAGCGGAACCCAAAAAGCGCGUCAUAGUUCGGAUUGGAGUCUGCAACUCGACUCCAUGAAGUUGGAAUCGCUAGUAAUCGCAAAUGAGUACGUUGCGGUGAAUACGUUCCCGGGCCUUGUACACACCGCCCGU
rnacentral:rRNA from 1 species